rnacentral:rRNA from 1 species
UACGUAGGGGGCGAGCGUUGUCCGGAUUCAUUGGGCGUAAAGAGCUCGUAGGCGGUUUGGUAAGUCGGGUGUGAAAACCCCAGGCUCAACCUGGGGACGCCACCUGAUACUGCCAUGACCUGAGUCUGGUAGGGGAUCACGGAAUUCCUGGUGUAGCGGUGAAAUGCGCAGAUAUCAGGAGGAACACCGGUGGCGAAGGCGGUGAUCUGGGCCAGUACUGACGCUGAGGAGCGAAAGCGUGGGUAGCAAACAGG